ensembl:lncRNA
UGUCUAUGUCCUGCAGGUUUGUCUCUCUGUAUCUGUCUAUGUCCUGCAGGUUUGUCUCUCUGUAUCUGUCUAUGUCCUGCAGGUUUGUCUCUCUGUAUCUGUCUUUGUCUCUCAGUAUCUGUCCAUGUCCUGCAGGUUUGUCUCUCUGUAUCUGUCUAUGUCCUGCAGGUGUGUCUCUCCGUAUCUGUCUAUGUCCUGCAGGUUUGUCUCUCUGUAUCUGUCUAUGUCCUGCAGGUGUGUCUCUCCGUAUCUGUCUAUGUCCUGCAGUUUUGUCUCUCUGUAUCUGUCUUUGUCUCUCUGUAUCUGUCCAUGUCCUGCAGGUUUGUCUCUCUGUAUCUGUCUAUGUCCUGCAGGUGUGUCUCUCCGUAUCUGUCUAUGUCCUGCAGGUUUGUCUCUCUGUAUCUGUCUAUGUCCUGCAGCUGUGUCUCUCCUUAUCUGUCUGUCUCCCGGUGUCGGUCUCACCAUCUCCUGCAGGUCUCACUGGACUGGACAGCCUGGAGCUGAAUCCCAGUGAGCAGCCGCUGUCUGGACUGGGUUUGUCCUGAUGUUUGUCUGCAGCAGUAGGACACGCCUCCUUCACCUGGAACUCACUGACAGGAAGGGGCAGCGUUUAGAGGGGCGGCGUUCCAACAUCCUACAAGCAGAAUUUAUUCACCUGGGACAAACUACUUCCUAAAAUGGGACAUUGAACUCUGACCCUGUUUAUCAUAUUCAAUUAAUUGUCCUUAAAUCCUUUUGUAAGGAGACGGUGUAAAUAUAAACGACCUGAUGACCUGCUUGUGUUUCAAUCUCUUCUCUCCUCUUUUUCUGCUUCUGUCUCUGCUGCCAAAAGCUCUUUCUACCGAUCCAGAAUCCAAUCUUCAUUUUCUAACCCAAAAAAACUAUUUUCGAUAUUCUCCAAC